AUGACCAAUAAGUGUGAGGCUCCUUUUGGAUUACAAAAUGACCAAAAUGAAGUGAUUGUAGGCUACCAGAAGAAUGAAGAGUCACUGAAGAAGUAUGUUGAGGAAUGCAUAGUGAAGAUUGAAAAAGAAGGCCAGAGGUACCAGGCACUGAAGAUCCAUGCAGAAGAAAAGCUCAGGCUGGCAAGUGAGGAGAUCGCCCAGGUACACAGCAAGGCCCAAGCAGAGGCACUGGCUUUGCAGGCAAGCCUGAGGAAGGCACAAAUGCAGAACCACUCACUGGAGAUGACUCUGGAGCAGAAGACAAAAGAAAUUGAUGAGCUGACCCGGAUCUGUGAUGACCUCAUCUCUAAAAUGGAGAAGAUCUGAGCACAGCCAGCUAUAACCAGCGCUCUUCUGUCUGUCUGCCCAUUUAUUUCCUUAUCUGUCUGAUUUAUCU